rnacentral:rRNA from 1 species
UACGUAGGGGGCGAGCGUUGUCCGGAGUUACUGGGCGUAAAGCGCACGCAGGCGGUCUGCUAAGUUUGGAGUGACAGUUGGUGGCUCAACCACCAAAGUGCUUCGAAAACUGGCCGACUUGAGGGCUUCAGAGGGACACGGAAUUCCGGGUGGAGUGGUGAAAUGCGUAGAGAUCCGGAGGAACACCGAAGGCGAAGGCAGUGUCCUGGGGAGUACCUGACGCUCAGGUGCGAAAGCUAGGGGAGCGAACGGG